rnacentral:rRNA from 1 species
AUACGGAGGGAGCUAGCGUUGUUCGGAAUUACUGGGCGUAAAGCGCACGUAGGCGGUUACUCAAGUCAGAGGUGAAAGCCCGGGGCUCAACCCCGGAACAGCCUUUGAAACUAGGUGACUGGAAUCUUGGAGAGGCGAGUGGAAUUCCGAGUGUAGAGGUGAAAUUCGUAGAUAUUCGGAAGAACACCAGUGGCGAAGGCGACUCGCUGGACAAGUAUUGACGCUGAGGUGCGAAAGCGUGGGGAGC